GGCUGCCCCGAGAGGCCAUUGCAGCCCCAGGAAGCAGAACUCACUUGGAACACAGAAGAAGGUGGGGUGUUCUCAGAAACACGAAUGGUCCAGGACCCCACUUCAUCCUUUCUUACUCAUGCUGGUACAGGGAAGUACCAGCCACCAGCUUCUGCUGAAAUGAGGCAUCGCAGGCAGAGGAGGGAGGAAGCCGUGGGAGAACGUGGGUCUCUUGUGGGUUUUCUUCUCAACGUGGGAUUCCAUCCUGGGGGAGUGACCACCCAGAACAGAACCAGGGUGCUGUGUGAGCAGAGCAGGCCCAGGGAGAAGUUUCGACCCAGCUGCAAGAGUUAAAUUGAGCUAUAAUUGACAUAUAACAUUAGUUUCAGCUGUUUUGCAGGUGCUGAAGCCCCCUACCAGGUGGAAGAAGUCAAUGGUAUACUGCCCACAAGAACCUGUAGACCCCAGGCCAGUUGGAACCGAAAGGUUGAUGAUGCUGACUCCUAAUCACCCUGUCACACACCAAUCAGGAAAAUGUCCCUGAGCUGAUCACUCCCUGCUCUUUGAACAUUGUUAAGACUUCUUACUACCCCCCAGAGGGGGAAAAGUCCUUGAGGCACUAGCCUGCUGUGCUCCCCUCUUUGCCUGCAAUUAA